AUUGAACACUGGCGGCAGGCCUAACACAUGCAAGUCGAGCGGAUGAAGGGAGCUUGCUCCUGGAUUCAGCGGCGGACGGGUGAGUAAUGCCUAGGAAUCUGCCUGGUAGUGGGGGAUAACGUCCGGAAACGGGCGCUAAUACCGCAUACGUCCUGAGGGAGAAAGUGGGGGAUCUUCGGACCUCACGCUAUCAGAUGAGCCUAGGUCGGAUUAGCUAGUUGGUGGGGUAAAGGCCUACCAAGGCGACGAUCCGUAACUGGUCUGAGAGGAUGAUCAGUCACACUGGAACUGAGACACGGUCCAGACUCCUACGGGAGGCAGCAGUGGGGAAUAUUGGACAAUGGGCGAAAGCCUGAUCCAGCCAUGCCGCGUGUGUGAAGAAGGUCUUCGGAUUGUAAAGCACUUAAAGUUGGGAGGAAGGGCAGUAAGUUAAUACCUUGCUGUUUUGACGUUACCAACAGAAUAAGCACCGGCUAACUUCGUG
rnacentral:rRNA from 1 species